rnacentral:rRNA from 1 species
UAGGGAAUCUUCCGCAAUGGACGCAAGUCUGACGGAGCAACGCCGCGUGAGUGAAGAAGGAUUUCGGUUCGUAAAACUCUGUUGUUAGAGAAGAACAGCGCAUAGAGUAACUGUUAUGCGUGUGACGGUUUCUAACCAGAAAGCCACGGCUAACUACGUGCCAGCAGCCGCGGUAAUACGUAGGUGGCAAGCGUUGUCCGGAUUUAUUGGGCGUAAAGCGAGCGCAGGCGGUCAAUUAAGUCUGAUGUGAAAGCCCCCGGCUCAACCGGGGAGGGUCAUUGGAAACUGGUUGACUUGAGUGCAGAAGAGGAGAGUGGAAUUCCAUGUGUAGCGGUGAAAUGCGUAGAUAUAUGGAGGAACACCAGUGGCGAAGGCGACUCUCUGGUCUGUAACUGACGCUGAGGCUCGAAAGCGUGGGGAGCGAACAGG